ACUUAUUUAAUAUAAAAAGUAUAUUAAGCUUCCAACUUAAAAGUCUCCAUAAAAGAAUAAGUA
rnacentral:tRNA from 1 species